GCUGGGCAUGGUGGUGCGUGCCUGUAAUCACAGUGGCUUGGGAGGCUGAGGCAGGAAGAUCACAAGUUCAAAGCCAGCCUCAGCUAAAAGUGAGGUGCUAAGCAACUCAAUGAGACCCUGUCUCUA
rnacentral:sRNA from 1 species